GGUCUGUCACCUUUCCGUGCAACCUUCGCGAAGGAGCGCGAACACGUCUUCAACGAUCGACAUAGAGAAUUAAUUCUCUACGCGGAACGUUAUUUCUUUCGGUCUGCGAGUUUCUAGUUUCCCCGAUAUCACGUUUCGAAUUUUUACCGCCGCCGAAUUGCGGCUACGUUCGCUCGAUCGGACGAAAAGAAAGAGAGAACAUGUAUCGAUCCGUUUCGUUCUUUCGAUUCUCGAAUUCCCCCCCGCUCCUUGAAAAAUCGUUAGAGAUUAGUUCCGCUUCGCUUGACGGGUCCGUUCAACAGGCAUCGGGCUCGAGCGCGCCGAUAAACGAAUGUAGAGGAGAGGAGAGGAGAGAAAAAAAAGGAGGAAAAGGGAACGUGCGAAAUUUGGCGCCCGAUAGCGCCACGACGCUGCAUUCUCAAGGAAAAUAAACCGUUCGCCGUCUGACUAUUUGAUUUAUGAGUGCGGGCGACAACCUACCGCACGGCAUACCGAAAUAGAUCAAGAGGAGAACCAUUGCGGACGUCCUGUGAUCUGUUCCCUUUUUUUUCGUGCAACCGCAACGAUACUAUUCAAUUAACCCUUAUCACUCGGAGAGUGAUCGCCAGUCGCUACAAAUGAAUUUUGCUCGUUUCAACGAGGAAAUUCAAUUAUGAAUGUUGGUGAUACUGUUGGUUAAAGUGAUAAGGGUUGCAUGAUCAGCAAAUGGUAUUCUUCGUCUGGAACUUGGGAAAAAGGAAGCAAUAUAUUUUGAAAGUUUGCUGAUGCUGGUACAAUCAAGAUGGUGCAAAACUAUUCGACACCCUAUAGACAGGGUGUUUGUCAGACAUCAGUUUAUACGUCUUGUUUAGUAGCAUAACGGGAGCUGAAGAGAGAGGGGGGAGAGAGAGAGAGAGAAAGAGAGAGACAGUGGAAGGAGGAUAUAAGGUUCACACGAUCGAUGCAGGGAAUCGUUCCGCGAUGCGAAGUGUUUUCUCGGGGCUCCUCGAACGGUUACACUUCGGCAAAAAUGCUUAGAAAGCAGUGGUACUUUCUCCUUUUGAUCGAAUGGAGAAUAUUUUCAACGAUUUCCAACCCGAUCAAACUUAUCCCGAACAUCCUAUUUCAUCAUUAAGUGGCAAACUUAAUUAAGAACAAACAACGACCAGGUGAAUAUGCAAAGCCAACAUUCUCAAAAACCACGUCCACCAGGGAAAAUCUCUCAUUUUCAACUGUAUUUUAUACGUAACAUCACCCUCGUGCAACUAGUAUUGCAAGCAUAGAUUAAUUCGCGGGGCGAGUUUGCAUGCCCGUGGAAGCCGGCAAGGGAAGGAGGAGGGAGAAUGUUGAAAAACGUGGUAAAAGUACUCGACAUGUGACGAACAGACCGUGAAGGAAGGCAAGGAAAGAAUUCUGAUCAAUUUCGGAUAACCAGGCGAGCAUAGAGGAGGGUGGCGAUAUGUCGACACCAAAUUAAUCGAGGACCGUUCAUUGAGAUGCGGAGAGUGUUCUUAGAGGCCACAGAAGUUCUGCGGAAACAAGCUACAGGCGUUGCUCAUUUUUACAACGACAAAAUUACAGUGUACACCGCUGUCUAUACACAUUUGGACAUUUAUGAUCUUCGAUGGAAAUGUAACCAGGCUCGUGAAUACGUUGAAUACCGCUUUACAAACUUCCAGACUUGUUGGCGUUAGGAUAUUCGAAAUAGACACUGUUUUAAUGGCUAAAUUAACAUGCGUUCACGUGGAUUCGAAAUCGAUCCAAAAUUAGUCUUCGAGGGAAGAUCAAUGAACUAGAAUCGGUAGCUGACGCGCCAGUGUUGAAUUUAUCAUGUUCCGUUUGUUUGGGCCCAUAAUUGUCCUGCAGUGGGCUGUGCCGUCAAUAGUGGGUACCAUAUCCCAGACAAAGCUAACUGGUUUAUUUGAGGAAGGCACCCUUUUAAGACCCCUUUCAUUGUUUGAACGCUUUACCACCACGAUGCACCGGAAAUGGAUCUUUAUAUCUAACUAGACGCGCGUACAUGUAAUAAUGAAAAGCAAAUAAGAAGGAUAAUAAGAGGAACAACGGAGGCGGUAACAUCGUCGUGAACAUCAUUAAUUUCUACAAACACCAUUCCACCGGGUACGAUUACUAAACGGAGAGUGCUCCAAACGGAAAAGAGAAUACAUGCGCAUCCGAAUACAAGAAAAAUUUCUACGAAAACUGAUGUUACUCAGGAAUAUAAUCUCUCUCGAAUAUUUCUAGGAAGAUCCUCUAUCGACGUACUCGGUGUAGUCUGGCGAAAAUUUGUCCAGCGAAAUUAAUUUCAACGGAAAGAAAUCUCAGACAUUCGUAUAAUUCUUUGGCUCUCGAGAUGUAUGGAACCCCCUUAAAGUUAUGACGCUGGACGUUUAGUAGAUGCAUUUUCUAUCAUGAUAAAAUCGCAAGGAGAGGCUUGCCGCGUUGUUGGAAUACUUUGCUCGAGUGUUUGACGUAAAUGCUUCUAGCGGCGCAACUUCUUUAAUGGGGUACUCUCGUUUCGACGAACGAAAUGAUCACCUUCUCGAAUUGCAUUCGAGGUCGCUGGUUUUCUAUAACUCGGUUUCGGUAGCUGCCUCGUAUUUACACUUUCAAAAACCAAAUUACAUACUCAUGAUCAAGCAGUUAAUCCUGUUCCUCUCGUUUCAACGAGGAAUUCUAUUGUUAACCCUUUGGGCGCUGAAUACUCUCAGCCGAAACGUUCCGCGUGGUCGAAAUAUUCUUUUGCUUGGCUUGCCAUCUGAAGAUCGAUGAACUAUGUUAACCCCUUCACCUAGAAUAUCGUGUCAGACUCGUGACGAAAAUCUUAAAUUGAAUUUCGCAAAUUUAAGUGUUAUUUAUAUUUCCUUUUAAUAUAAACUAAAUAUUAUAUUUCUAUUAGCAAUCGUUAACCUUUGGAGUUAAUUUACACAUAGAAUUAACAUCAAAAUUGUUUCCUUUCCUAAUAAAUGAUCAACGAUAAAGUAAUUAUAUUUAUCGUAGUUAAGAAAUAAAUCAUAGGGGUUAAUUCGUACAAGUCGUAAUUAAGUUGUAAUUUUAAUUCCUCGGUUUUGCCGUAUUGAAUAACGUUAAGAACAAACGUGUCAGAUCAAAAAUAUUGUAAAACGCAUAUAUGCGUCCAUAGCACUCAAAAGGUUAACCGUUUUUGUUAUGUUGAAAUGUAUCCGAAUUCAUAUUGAAAGAAUUCUGGGUAUAUCGAGCAUUGACUAUACCGCAGAAAACGGUGCCCCAUUGUUGACGAGCUACUCCUGUAAUGAGCCUCUGCCAUUGACGGACACAGAGACUAUUAUAUUUGUGUACACUGGCCCAAGGACUAGAACAAUGGUUCCUAGCCCUGCUUUCCGCCUCUCCCAAUCCGUUGUUACUUUUAUCAAGGGAACUAUACUGCCCUCGUUAUUGCGACAGUAUUACCAAGGGAAACUACCCAGAUCGUUGCAAUCAGAGGUACACCCCCGAAGCAUCCCCCUUACACGAGAUAACCUCCUCUGCAUCAAUAAUAGUCGGCCAGGGUGCAGUGUCUCUCAACUAAAUUCUCGCGGGAUACUUUCGUGCGUCGAGCUUCACAUCAAUAACAUAUGUUUCAACCCUUAUCACUUCGACCAGCAGUCUCACUGCCAAGCACGGAUACGUCGAAA